UACAGAGGUCUCAAGCGUUGUUCGGAUUCAUUGGGCGUAAAGGGUGCGUAGGCGGCGCGGUAAGUCGGGUGUGAAAUCUCGGGGCUUAACUCCGAAACUGCAUUCGAUACUGCCGUGAUUGAGGACUGGAGAGGAGAGCUGGAAUUUACGGUGUAGCGGUGAAAUGCGUGAGAUAGUCGAUAAGGAAGACCGGUGGCGAAGGCGGG
rnacentral:rRNA from 1 species